rnacentral:rRNA from 1 species
CCUACGGGUGGCAGCAGUGGGGAAUAUUGGACAAUGGGGGGAACCCUGAUCCAGCCAUGCCGCGUGUGUGAAGAAGGCCCUCGGGUUGUAAAGCACUUUCAGUGAGGAAGAACGCCUGGUGGUUAAUACCCAUCAGGAAAGACAUCACUCACAGAAGAAGCACCGGCUAACUCCGUGCCAGCAGCCGCGGUAAUACGGAGGGUGCGAGCGUUAAUCGGAAUUACUGGGCGUAAAGCGCGCGUAGGUGGCUUGAUAAGCCGGUUGUGAAAGCCCCGGGCUCAACCUGGGAACGGCAUCCGGAACUGUCAAGCUAGAGUGCAGGAGAGGAAGGUAGAAUUCCCGGUGUAGCGGUGAAAUGCGUAGAGAUCGGGAGGAAUACCAGUGGCGAAGGCGGUCUUCUGGACUGACACUGACACUGAGGUGCGAAAGCGUGGGUAGCAAACAGGAUUAGAUACCCUGGUAGUC